CAGUAAAUAGUUUAAAUAAAAUAUUAAUUUUGGAGAUUAAAGAUGAGCGAUUGCUUUUUACUGA
rnacentral:tRNA from 1 species